CAGCCGGAAUCCUAUCCGAAGUCGAGAAACAUUAACACCGGCAUCCAAAAUUCCAGGUGUAACGUAAAUGGCUCCGGUAAUCCCAGAUCCUCAGCCCUCCAGUGAGAGACAUCUUGACCUGAUCUGACUAUGCCCUGACACAUCUAUUCUGCUGAAACAAUGAAAAUUAAAUGUUUUUACGGUUCAUCAUAAAAACCUUUUAAUGUUA